rnacentral:tRNA from 1 species
AAAGGGAGACCUAAUUCAGGUAAAAGACGAAAAAAAAGUAGUCGCUACCAAGAAUCAAUCCCAAAAGGUCGGAGCGAGGCGAAAUUGGCUUUCAAACUAGGUUCUGGGUUCAAACAAGACCUGAAUCGGGAACAAGGGCUAUUAGCUCAGGUGGUUAGAGCGCACCCCUGAUAAGGGUGAGGUCCCUGGUUCGAGUCCAGGAUGGCCCACCUGCACAGGUGGCAAAAACAAGAGAAGCGAGGAAUCAGCACCUUAUCUUACUGACAUAGUAAGAGAGAAUGCUGGCUCUGAGUAAAGAGUCCAGAGGAACCUUGAAAACUGCAUAGAGCUAGGUGAAAAAGCCAAAAAAGAAGACCGCAAG